rnacentral:rRNA from 1 species
GACGGAGGGGGGGCAAGUGUUCCUCGGAAUGACUGGGCGUAAAGCGUGCGCAGGCGGUUUUGUAAGCCAGAUGGGAAAUCCCCGGGCUUAACCUGGGAAUGGCAUUUGGGACUGCAAGGCUUGAGUGCGGCAGAGGAGACUGGAAUUCCUGGUGUAGCAGUGAAAUGCGUAGAUAUCAGGAGGAACACCGAUGGCGAAGGCAGGUCUCUGGGCUGACACUGACGCUCAUGCACGAAAGCGUGGGGAGCAAACAGG